UACGUAGGUGACCAGCGUUGUCCGGAUUUACUGGGCGUAAAGAGCGCGCAGGCGGUCGUUCAAGUCGAGUGUGAAAGCCCCCGGCUCAACUGGGGAGGGGCACUCGAUACUGAUCGACUUGAAGGCAGGAGAGGGAAGCGGAAUUCCCGGUGUAGUGGUGAAAUGCGUAGAUAUCGGGAGGAACACCAGUGGCGAAGGCGGCUUCCUGGCCUGUUCUUGACGCUGAGGCGCGAAAGCGAGGGGAGCGAACAGG
rnacentral:rRNA from 1 species